GUUUGCAAAACAGCCCAAACACAUUCGCCGCUGAACGCUUUAGAUCUAUUUGAUCUGUUUACCGUGAAUAAUCGAUCGGGGGGGAUCUUAUUACUCUUCCAUGUUCUUGUCAUCGAGAAUCCAAUACUCGAAUUAGAUACAAAAUAUCCUUAAUGGUAUUCUUCCAACGUCCGUUGUGAGGACAAGUUAUUCAUCGUCCAUCGUAGGCAUAACGACUCAUCGUCCUUUGGGGAUUCAAUGUAUUCAUCAUCGCCCUUCUCCAAUAUCGCCAAUAAUAAAUCGAUAUUCAACGCGGGGAGUGCUUCACCAUCUGCACCGCUAAACCCUUCGAGGGUAAAUUCAGCGUGAGGUGGAAAGAGAGACGAAUGAGAUGAAGCCUGUGCAAACACCCGAAAGACCAAGUGCAAGAGAGAGGAGAGGAGAAUAGAAGUGAGGCAGUCUGAGCUCGAGGUGGUGCCAACACCGGUGAAACUAGAGGAAAUGGAUAAAACGACAUCAGUUGAGAAGUAACAAAAAAAUAAAAUAAAAUAAAGGAGAAGGAACUCCUGUCGACUUUGGGGUGACAAACCGUGAAUCCCGAGUGCUACAGAAUUUUUCUUCUACACUUACGCCCAGUUAUGAGCUUUUGGGAGCCGUAAAUCAUAUUUUGUCGGGACGAUAGAAUGACAUAUAUCCUUCUUUGAGAAAAUAGCUCACUGCCGACACAAGACAUCACUAAAUUUCCUGAAGAUACAGCCUCGGGUAUAUAAGCGUGUUGCAGACGAGUGAGAGCCUGAGGGUUCUUCGGCUGAUGGAAACUGGAUACAUCUUGCAAAUUUGCUAGCAGCUUAAGAUCUACGCCUCGGACUUUAUGAGGAAUAUUGGAGUCCUGCUGUGCUGUAUCAACUGAGGGACAACUACACCUCUUGACCUUGCAGGACAACUACUCUUCCCCCUCAUCCAGCCAACAGACAUCUUGAAGUGUGCUGAGAACCUUUAAAUUGAUAGUCAAGCUACAUCACCAGGUGAAACAUGUAACUUGGCUAUGAUUUGAGUAGUUGACCUUUAACCACAAGCACGCAUACACUCAAUAGGGUAAAAGUACUCGUAUCAAUCGUCAACACUAGUAUCCAAAGAAUUCGUCCAGAGUCCGAUGUACACAGGUCUGGGACGCCUCUGAGGCCGGAAUAUGUACCAGAGCCAGUUUCGGAGCCAGGGAAUAGGGGAUAGGGGAUCGAAAAUCUUGGUCUCAGGUAGUUUGUAAAAUUCUACCUGGUCGGGUUUUAAACUCAGAACCUUUCGCAUGUGAGGCAACGCAUUUACUCAGCGCUUCAAGCCAUCGGACUAGUCUCUGUGUCAGUUGACUCCCAAUUUCUACACUAAUUUCUUCACCUUGACGACUCACUUUGCCACCUUCUUCAAACAAUGCCACGUGAUACAGCACAUAUUUACGCAUCGCUUAUAAUUUGAUUCUCGUAAAAAAGCCGAAAUCCUCGAUUUCUUCGUCUGACAUAACUGAGGCCGCGGCAGUGGUACGCACUGCUAGAAAAAAUUAGUUUUGUUCAAAGACAAAACUAAUUUUACUUCAAUCAACAAUCACGGGGUCGUUAAUUGCUCAGUAAACAUAAUUUUGUAACGAAUUUCACGCAUCGUUUCGUCAGAGAUAAAUUUGAUUGGGAGAAAUUAAAGUUUUUCACUUGAUUUAUUCGUUGAUUCUUUCGAAAAUCAAAAUUUUUCUUACGGUUAAAUAUAUUGGUAUCGAUACACAAUAUUGAUUGGUUUGUUUCGAAGAUUCUAAUUAUGUAAAUUCAGUGACGAAGAGGUAAAAGGAGAUAAGUCACUUCUGACUAUUUAGCAGUUUUUCAUUAAUAUCUCGAGAUCUAGGGGAGACACCAAGAUUUUCAUUAGAACCUUUUUUAUAGAAUGAAUUAAGGGUUACAAUAAAGGUCAUGAUGAAAAUACCACUAUCUCUCUUAGAUUCGGAGAUAUCCCUCGCACUCGAGUCCACGAUAAAUCAACUGCUCUCCUACCUGUUACAAUUUAAUUAAUCAUUUAGUUAAUGUAUAUGGGUCUCCUUUUGAGGGACAGACAUCGUGAAAAAUAUUUUUUUCAAUCAGUGUAAGCAUGAAUAUUUAAUGGAAAAAUCUGCUGCCAAUACCAGCUGAAUGAGUGAUCAAAAUUGUGAUUGCAUGGGAGCCCACGUCGUUGGCAGUCCCUCCGGAAAGCACGCAAAAGGCUAUCAAGGGUGAAAUAUAAAACAUGGCCAUAUUCGAACCUUCCACUUCUUAUUCCACGAUCAUCGCUAUCCAACUUCCCUCUAGAUCAUAAACUUAAGAACACGUGGAAUACGUGGAAGGCGGAUCGUUAAGCCGAGACUUACGUAAAAACCACUUGCUCAUUAAUAUCUCAGUUCUGGAAAAAAAGAAAAAUCUGAUUCUAUUCUCAGUGCAUGAAAAAAAAAAUUAUUGUAAUAUUAUCCAUACUGAGGAAACAAUUGACUACCUUUCGAAUAGCAAUCAUUUCCUAUAUAGACACGACAAGUGAACCACAGUUGCUAAUAAGUAGUUGGACUGAUAUUACAAUUUGAUUAGAAGAUGUUUCAAUCACAAAUUAUUUACCUCCGGAUUCUAUAAAAAAUUUCCUGAUUGUCUUCGAUAAUUUAUAUCGACGAAAUCGAUGCCCUAUUGGCUGUCUCCCCAUUUAUUUUUGAGAGAAUGUUUUUAUUUUAAUUUACUGUUGGGUCAAAAACACUGAAUUUCAGCCUCGAAAAUUCUGGCAUUGGUCCAGACGCGUCGCAGGGAUGUGAUCAUUUUUUUAAAUAAUAAUUAGGGACAUUGGAUACUCUACUGUGGAAUAUACAAUGUCCUAACGUUGAUUUCACAUCCUGCAGGCGGUGGGAGAGAUUAUUUAGAGAGGAAAACUCCCGCGCAAGGAAAUGCGUGUCUCUGGCGCUUCGUUAAGAAGUUAUCCUUCAACAAAGCAAAAAUUCAUUGCGAGGAAUGAAAAUGAUGGCAAUCAAGUGGAGGUUUAAUGUACAAUGAUUUGAAAAACUUGUGAUUCUGUAUUUAUAUCGGGGUUAUAAAAAAUCAUAUCUUCACUAUCAUUCAAUAUCAAGACCUAAAAUUUAUGAGAAUCAAUUGAACAUACAUUACUACCAGCCCGUCUUACAUUAAUUGGGUGUUUUUCAGGAUAAUUUGUAAACAAAACGUCGGAGAUAAUAAUUUCAUUAUGAUUUUUAUGUUCGAAUUCCUCUAACCCCUCAGCCCCUGCACUAGUUACGCCGAUGGGACGCCAGAUCUAUUCUGGGGCACCCUAUGCGUUCAAUAAUUGCUAUCGUUUGAUGUUAAUUGAAACUCCAUCGGUGGCGUAGUUUAUUAAAUAAUUACAUUUUUCUAAAACUAGAAAAGAGCACGUAUGUAUAGUCCGUAAUGAGGCAUAAAUAAUUGGUUAAUUUGAUAGAAACACAGUACAGAAUAUCGUAAAGUAUUCUCAAAAGGCUUUGAUGAUCGAUGACCGAUAUCGAGAAAAAUUAAACCUGAGAACAUAUGGAUAAUAAAUUCUUUGAAUAAAAAUGUCAUCUGAAUCUGUAGAGGGAUAUCAGGACUAGAGAGAGGUAUUCGUUUCAACAAACAACACUAUCAUUAAAUUGUACAGCACUUUAUUGAUAUAGUAAUAUAUUUUUAAAUAGAAACGUCAAGGAACUGUUCGACCCUUUCUCGUCUCUUAAAAAACGUACAAUAAAGAUAAUAAAAUAAGCAUUUUUGAUUAAAAAAAAUUUCUUCGCUUUUUCCCUUUUUUUUCACUUUUUAUGUCCGCAACAAAUAUAUAUGUCUUCUUACAAACAAUGCCGCCGAGAGACUACUCAAUCGAGUACUUCCCAAUAAGUGACACAAGUAUCAGAAACUGAGAGCAAUCGACCUAGCGCACAUCGAAGUUUGGUCGAUCCCUAGAAUUUUUGUUUCGCAGCUUUCACCGCUACUCAUUCAUUAUUUUCACCUCGCGUCUCCUCUCGUCUGGAAACUUGAAAGACUCGACCGCUACAUAAUCCAAGUAUUAAUAACAAUAUUUUAAGUACAACUAAAAGAAAAUUCGGUUUGUUUGUUUCAUUUUUUGCAAUAGGAAAUUAAUUCAAAAAAAUAUCUCCGUAUGAAAUUGAAACCAAUGGCAGCCCUAAACUUCAUAUGAAACCUCAAAGAAUUUUCCCAUUAUUUUACGCAAGAAGCACUUAUUCCUCAUUGUUUUGUAUACAAGUUUAGAUUAAUUUUAGUUUGUAAAAAUUAUCUAUACGUUAGGCAUCGAAAAAUUUACAGCAGUAAUUGGAGGUAUGCUUGAUUACUCUUAAUUGUAUCAUUUGUUCCUUAUCUCAUCAUGGCUUGCAGAUGGAAUAAUGUUUUUCCAACCUUCGCCCAUAAAGUUAUAAUUAUUAUUAUUAUUUUUUAAUUUCACCAGUUAUACUGUGCAAUUGUGGUGAAAAUUUUUGUCAUUCUCAAUUGAUUUUUCUUCGUCUUCGCUUCAUCACUACUGCACAGCAAAAAUAUGAAACUUUCGUGAAGGUUUGAGGAAAACGAAUUAUCAAUAAUUAGCUAUUAAUCGAUUAUUGAUGGACUAUUAGUCACCAAUUACGACGUAAUGACUUAUUGAGCUUGAGUAGGCAUGUUGCACAGGUUUCUGAAUGUUACAUGACGAGGAAACAAAUUUUCAAAAUUAUAAAGACAUGACUGAACAGCAUUGAUAUCCAUUCAGUCUCCAAAUAUUAUCAUGCACUUCAAUUUGUGGUAAAUACAUGUGUAUAUUGUCCUGGGUAUCGUAGAGCAAUAGAUACAGUACAAUGGGUAGUACGAUUGCUCCAUCUCACGUGAGCCGUGAAUAAAAGUCACGUUCUUCUGUAUUUAAAGGGAGGAAUAAGUGUAAAAAAUGGGGACAAUAACAAACGAAAUGUUUACUUUUAAUUGGCAUUUUAUUUUCAGAGGCUUUAUAUGACUGAGCAUAAGAGGAACAAUCGCCCGUUCCGUUAAAGCGACUAAGUCUCUGGGGUAUUUUUUUUUUCGUUUUAACCGAAACGUCGAGAUAUCUUAAUGCAAGAACAACAAAUCAGCCCAGGUAUUGUCAGUUGUCAGUUAAAACGAAUGUUACAUUUUUUUUCAACAUUUUCUUUCUCCUUUUGCUGUAUUUUUCGGCUAUUUUUCUGUAACACUUUUUUUUCUUACAAAAAUAAGAGAUUCUGUACAUUGCGGGGAAAAUAUGGUGACGAUUUCAGAUCAAAGAGGGUGAGGAAUUGGAAAAAAAUGCUAUUUCUGGAUAUUUUGAACCCUCUGUGAUAAGGACUUCACGCCAUUUUCUUUUACAAUGUAGUUUGAUGUAUCGCAGCUUCAUUAUUUCGCAUUUUCAAUUUGCUUUGAAUUCCUAUAUUGUAUUCAAUUUUUAGGCCAAGCAUUGGCAAUACCAAUUCAUCGUAUGUAUUUUUACAUUCUUAUUGAUAGAUUUUUUUGCAUUAUCGUGUUGUAUUUUUUUUUCAUCUUUUUUAGUUCCGAAUGAAUUUUUUUUGUCUAACUAUAAUCAGGCCCGUUCCUCGGCUCUUACAAUGUAUAAAAAUAAAGGAUUAAAUAAAA